rnacentral:lncRNA from 1 species
GGAGGACUUGCUUUCGAGUUCCCACACGGAGAUGCACACUUUGGUGAGCGCUUCUCUUCGACCUCCUCGUUGUCUUGCUGAUCUUCUCGUGGAUUUGCGGCCAGGCGAUGGACAAUUUGUCCCCAAGGACGUCGAAGAACUGGUUUUAGUGUUAGCAGCGGACGGUAGCUCGAGGCCGGCAUGGGGUCCAAUGGAACAACAGCACAUACCUUGCUUACUCAAGUAGAGAGGUGAUUCGUUUGGUUCUUAUAUCUGUACAGGAAGCCAAGCAAUUUUGAUAUCCCCCAAGGCUAUCCAUAGCUUUGUCAAAAUUCGUCCUUGAUAGAUUUGAAAGACACGGAU